GCCAUGCGGCUGUAUGUUAGGAAGAGCAGGGAGAAGUUUCCAUUUUUGCCCACACCGAAGUUUUCAGUCCCCAAACGGCGAAAUAUUUCUGACGAACAAGAAUAAACGCGAGUGCUUCGAUUGAAUACAGUCUCACUCAUAAUUUGCAACAAACAGAUAGAGAAUUUGGGUAUUUCCUCGGGGCAGCAGAUGACUUGUUGUGCCCUGGAGCCGCUCCCACACUGUCCGACCGCCGAAUCUGCGAAAGAACUUCUUAAAAAUCCUCCACUUGCAGCAAUGACAGCUUUGCAGAUCCUUGGCAUUCUAGCUGUCAGUUUGUCCAGAUACUCAGAGUUGAUGUAAGUGAAAAAGGAAAGUCAAGAACUGAAGGCAAUGGAG